rnacentral:rRNA from 1 species
CGUGCAGGCGGUUUGGCAAGUCGAGUGUGAAAUCCCACGGCUCAGCCGUGGAACUGCGCUCGAAACUGCCUUACUUGAGUGCGGGAGAGGUGUGCGGAAUUCCUGGUGUAGCGGUGGAAUGCGUAGAUAUCAGGAAGAACACCGGUGGCGAAGGCGGCACACUGGCCCAGCACUGACGCUGAGGCGCGAAAGCGUGGGGAGCGAACG